AGAAAGUUUGUGUUCAAAGCUUAUCCACUUACUUUAAUCCUUCAGUUUGUUCAAUUAUUACAAUGAAAUGUAAAAUUGUGUGCAGCAAAAACUUAUUUCAUGUUUCUAUAAUCAGGUUACAUUUCACGCUAGAGAGGUUCCUGUGGUACUGAACGGCAUGUCAUGUACCUGUUGUGCUGGGAAAGCACUGUGCAACCACAUCGUAGCACUACUGUUUCAAAGUGCUCAUUACAGUACCAUGGGGUUCAAGACAGUGCCAUUGCCACUGUCAUGCACUAGCUCACUGCAGACAUGGCACCGUCCUAGGACACAGGGAAUUGCACCUGAGUCAACAAACUGCAUGGUAGUGUGUAAACCAGUACCAAAAUCCCAGGAUCGUGCCCGAACUGGUGUGAAAUGUACACUGUACAGAGCAUAUAGUGGACCUCUUCCAGAUCCUAACAUCAUGGCCAGUGUUGAGAAGCUGCAAGAAAAACGCCCACAACCAGGCAUUUGCAAAAUACUGCAUGGACUUCAG